UAUGCUCUGCUCUGGCUGGUCAAAUGGAACCAAGCCCAUCUUCCCUGGAGGUUUGGUCCCCUUCAACCAGCUAUAGCAGUGUUGAAAA
rfam:Chaetura pelagica isolate M959 contig60180, whole genome shotgun sequence.